rnacentral:piRNA from 1 species
UCCAGAGACAACCGCCCUACUUGGUUCCU